rnacentral:rRNA from 1 species
AUGCCGCUCCCUUCCUCCUCCUCCGCCGCCGCCGUCGCGGCCGGGCCGGCGGCGUCCCCGCUCGCCGCCCGAAGCCGGGGCCGCCUCCUUCGCGCGCGCUCGGGCCACGCCGCCGUGAGGUGCCAGAGGGUCGAUCCUGUGAGGCUGAGGGCGGUCAAUGGAUCACCCCCCUGCGUUCCCCUGUCCGACAGGUCGCCGUGGACCCCUGCGACGAUGCCGAUUUUCGGGGACGCAAACAUCAGGAAGGACGACACGAGGCUGCGCAUCUUCUCAGGAACGGCUAACCCCUCGCUCGCCCAGGAAAUAGCAAGCUACAUGGGUCUAGAACUUGGGAAGAUCAACAUAAAAAGGUUUGCUGAUGGCGAAAUAUAUGUUCAGUUACAAGAAAGUGUAAGGGGCUGCGAUGUGUUCCUUGUGCAACCAUCAUGCCCUCCAGCAAACGAGAAUCUCAUGGAGCUACUCAUCAUGAUUGAUGCAUGCAGAAGAGCAUCUGCUAAGAAUAUUACUGCAGUCAUCCCUUAUUUCGGUUAUGCCAGGGCUGACAGGAAGUCUCAAGGUCGUGAAUCUAUAGCUGCAAAGCUUGUAGCUAAUAUGAUUACUGAAGCUGGUGCAAACCGUGUCCUUGUUUGUGAUCUUCAUUCAAGUCAGGCCAUGGGAUAUUUUGACAUCCCAGUAGAUCAUGUUUAUGGCCAGCCGGUGAUUCUUGAUUACCUCGCCAGCAAGACAAUUAGUUCAAAUGACUUGGUGGUGGUGUCGCCCGAUGUUGGAGGUGUUGCCAGGGCACGCGCUUUUGCCAAAAAGCUAUCAGAUGCACCUCUAGCGAUUGUAGAUAAAAGAAGGCAUGGACACAACGUUGCCGAGGUAAUGAAUCUUAUUGGAGAUGUUAGAGGAAAAGUGGCCGUUAUGAUGGAUGAUAUGAUUGAUACGGCAGGAACUAUUGCCAAAGGAGCUGAGCUGCUGCAUCAAGAAGGAGCAAGAGAAGUAUAUGCAUGUUGUACACAUGCUGUUUUUAGCCCACCAGCCAUCGAAAGAUUAUCAAGUGGUUUGUUUCAAGAAGUAAUCAUCACGAACACUAUCCCUUUAAAGGAGGAGAAGAAUUUCCCGCAGCUGACCAUUCUUUCAGUCGCGAACCUUCUAGGCGAGACUAUCUGGCGUGUUCAUGAUGAUUGCUCGGUUGGCCAUGCGCCAUACUCCACCUUGGAUAUCGACUGA